AGCUUUCUUGCCAGUGGCAGUGUCGGCCCAUGAGGUCAUCCAGUGAUUAUUGCUAGUGAAAACUUUACCCAAUACCCCGCCAUGAUGACUUGAAAUACUGUCAGCAUUGGCAAUUUUUGACAGGCUCUGAGGAGA